rnacentral:rRNA from 1 species
GAUGAACGCUGGCGGCGUGCUUAACACAUGCAAGUCGAACGGGAAACCUUUUAUUGAAGCUUCGGCAGAUUUAGCUGGUUUCUGUGGCGGACGGGUGAGUAACGCGUGGGUAACCUGCCUUAUACAGGGGGAUAACAGUCAGAAAUGGCUGCUAAUACCGCAUAAGCGCACAGAGCUGCAUGGCUCAGUGUGAAAAACUCCGGUGGUAUAAGAUGGACCCGCGUUGGAUUAGCUGGUUGGUGGGGUAACGGCCCACCAAGGCGACGAUCCAUAGCCGGCCUGAGAGGGUGAACGGCCACAUUGGGACUGAGACACGGCCCAGACUCCUACGGGAGGCAGCAGUGGGGAAUAUUGCACAAUGGGGGAAACCCUGAUGCAGCGACGCCGCGUGAAGGAAGAAGUAUCUCGGUAUGUAAACUUCUAUCAGCAGGGAAGAUAAUGACGCUACCUGACUAAGAAGCCCCGGCUAACUACGUG